rnacentral:rRNA from 1 species
GACGAACGCUGGCGGCGUGCUUAACACAUGCAAGUCGAGCGGUAAGGCCCUUUCGGGGUACGACGAGCGGCGAACGGGUGAGUAACACGUGGGUGACCUGCCCUCAGCUCUGGGAUAAGCCUGGGAAACCGGGUCGUAAUACUGGAUAUGACUCCAUGACGCAUGUUGUGGGGUGGAAAGCCUUGUGCGGCUGAGGAUGGGCCCGCGGCCUAUCAGCUUGUUGGUGGGGUGAU